AAAAUAAAAAGAAAAAGGUUUUUCCUCUCCCCCUCCCUGUCUCGGGCUCGGCCCAUUCCUUCCCCCCCCAGCCUGCUAACUCCCCCUUCCCCCUUUUUCUUCCUUGCAUCGGCCCAAGCAGCGCGGCCCAGCAGCCGACGCGCGCGCCCUCCCUCCUCGCUUCAGCGGCUGACAGAGCGGCCCUGCUCUCCGCGUCACUGCUAGGUGGGGCCCGGCGGUCAGACCCGUCUUCCACCUCGAGUCCGGCCAGGACACGAGUCCGAGCGCAACAAUCGCGCGAGUUUCGCGCAAGCUAUCCCCUCUCCGCCCGACUCUAGCCCUUUAAAUACUCGCCCCGCUGCCCCGCAGUCCCCUAUCUCCACCCAGCGCCAGCCGCCGCG
rnacentral:lncRNA from 1 species